GAUGAACGCUGGCGGCGUGCCUAACACAUGCAAGUCGAGCGAUUUACUUCGGUAAAGAGCGGCGGACGGGUGAGUAACGCGUGGGUAACCUGCCUCAUACACAUGGAUAACAUACCGAAAGGUAUGCUAAUACAAGAUGAUAUAAGAGAUUCGCAUGGAUUUCUUAUCAAAGCUUUUGCGGUAUGAGAUGGACCCGCGUCUGAUUAGCUAGUUGGUAAGGUAACGGCUUACCAAGGCGACGAUCAGUAGCCGACCUGAGAGGGUGAUCGGCCACAUUGGAGCUGAGACAAGGUCCAAACCCCUACGGGAGGCAGCAGUGGGGAAUAUUGCACAAUGGGCGAAAGCCUGAUGCAGCAACGCCGCGUGAGCGAUGAAGGCCUUCGGGUCGUAAAGCUCUGUCCUCAAGGAAGAUAAUGACGGUACUUGAGGAGGAAGCCCCGGCUAACUACGUGCCAGCCGCCGCAGUAACAC
rnacentral:rRNA from 1 species